CUGUGCAUCUCCAGGGAUGUGGUAUAACCCAGUGUGUGCUCCUGCGCUUCACACGGGGCCUUCCUCAUGAUCUGUCUGUCUCUCAUGCAGGUUCCAAGCCCAGGAGGUUUGUGUUUGAAAGGAGUUUUGCUGAACGGAGUGUUGAGAGUGAAGGAGGAAGCAAGCCUUGCUCCUGAGAGAUUUUUCUUAUGGCCACACAAGGUCUGUUCCCUCAGGAGCCACCCAGGCUGGAGUUUCAGAGUGGUUAUUACAGUCACAGCCUCCUCGUGUCACCUCAUGAUGAAAUCAGCGUGGCAUUUUGUGUCUCACAACGCUGUCUAAGCCGUGAAACACUUUCUGAGCCCUGAAAACAUCUUGAGCCACUGCAGGUUGAGAGCAGGAGGAAGCAGCUUGUCUCUCACUGAUGACCCAAGAGCAUCCUCUAGUGCAUAUUUAAGAAAUAUCAAUCAAAUGGAUUCCAUGAGGUAAAUAUCAAGAUUUUCCUGGAAAGGAUGUUCCUGAUAUUUAUCCAAGUGAUGAAGUGCCAUCAAGUAUCUUCUGAACAGGCAGACUCUGGGGACACAGCAGUAGAGGAUCAUCUUCCUGAAACAGUCUCUACCAUGGAUGUGCUGUCAAAGUAAAACUCAGCCUGAGUCUGAAAGUGUGCAAAUGCAUGAGUGGAGUAAAAGGAGAAAAGGAAGAAAAAGAAAAGCAGAGGUACUGGAGCAAAACUGAUAAAAGAAAUGUUGCCUCUCUGGUAUUCAACCAAAAGUUCAUGCCUUACCAUUAUAAUCAAAAACACAGAGGAACAGGAGAAGGAAUUUGCUCAUGUUUUGGAGGGCAAAAUACAGCUUCCUGGCCAUGUGUGCUGCACUGGAUUCUUCACGCCACAUAAAGUCAUUUUUCUGUUUAAAAAUGUAUGCAAACUUCCUCAUAACAAGUAUGCACAUACACACAUAUAAAGUGAAUGAAUAAGAGAAAAGAAACUGAAAUAGAGAUGAUCUGAGGCUGCCCAUUGUCCCCAUUCUCCCACACAGGGAUCCUCAAAACCCUGCUGCUUCUCUUAUGAAACCAAUCAACUUUCCCUGAGAAGCAAUUUCUUUAAAUGUGACAUCAAAAUAGCUCUGACUUGCCAUAAGGUGGUUCCUAUUUAAGAUGCCACACCACACAGCCAUGUAUCAUCUGACCUAAUCUCAUCAGGCAGCACGACAUCUUCAUUGCUGAGCUUUCACUAAUUAAAAAUGCCAAAUAUAAGAUCACUUAAGCAUAUGCUUUAAGUCUUUCGAUAAAGUUUUAUACCGCACGAAUCCUAGAUGAGACAUUCUGACAAUGCUCAUGCUCUACCAGCUCCACUCUUUUAUUGCACUGAUAUUUCUUCUUGGCCCCCCGACUCAUGUAACGAGGGUCAUAAAUUGAAUAUCGCUCUAUGAUUUAAUCUACGUAAUAAAAAUGAAAUAAUUUCUGUGGCAUAGUGGGGGAAUAAAGCAGGAUGACUAGAGAAGGCCAUACUGCACAUAAUGAAAAGAAGUGUUAAUGCAUAGAAGGUUUUAUUUUAAUAAAUUUCACUGUACUAAAAGUAAAUGUCAUGUUGGUACUUGAGAUUAUGCUGUGGAUGAAGAAAUACAGGAAAAGCUCUCAAGCUGGUAAAAAGCAAGGAAGCCAAAGUGAAGCCAUUUUGAGCGAUACUACUAUGAUCAUGCUAAGAAUCUGCCUCUACA